rnacentral:rRNA from 1 species
AGCGCUAUAUCUGGUGUAGCAAUACAUUAGAUGUGGAGCGGCGCAAGGGUGCGUAACACGUGGGUAAUUUACCGUGAAGUUGGGGAUAACUCGCUGAAAGGCGAGCUAAUACCGGAUGUGGUUUCGGAGUGGCAUCACUUUGCAACUAAAGCUGGGGAUCGUAAGACCUGGCGCUUCAUGAUAAGCCCGCGGCCUAUCAGCUAGUUGGUGAGGUAACGGCUCUCCAAGGCUAAGACGGGUAGCUGGUCUGAGAGGACGACCAGCCACACUGGAACUGAGACACGGUCCAGACACCUACGGGUGGCAGCAGUCGAGAAUUUUUCUCAAUGGGCGCAAGCCUGAAGGAGCGACGCCGCGUGGGGGAUGAAGGGUUUCGAUCCGUAAACCCCUGUCAUUUGUGAACAAUGGUUAUUAUUUAAAAGAUGAUGACUUGAUAGUAAUGAAAGAGGAAGGGACGGCUAACUCUGUGCCAGCAGCCGCGGUAAUACAGAGGUCCCGAGCGUUG